CCCCGGCUUCCGACUUCCCCGCGGCCCCGCUCUGCGGCCUCGCGCUUUCACCGCCCGGCCCGCAGACGCGCCAUGGGCCCCGCGCGCUGCUUGGCGCUGGGCGGCCUCCUCGCUCUGGCCGGGCUGUUGGAGGGCCGGCUCGUGAGCGAGCAGGAAGCCGGCUUCGGCGAAUGCGACCGAUUCUUCUACGCCGGGACCCCGCCCGCGGGGCUGGCGGCCGCUGCCCACGUGAAGAUCUGUCAGCGUUCCGAGGGCGCCGAGCGCUUCGCCACCCUUUACAGCACCCGGGACCGUAUCCCCGUGUACUCGGCGUUCCGCGCCGCGCGCCCCGCGCCCCUGGGCGCCGAGCAGCGCUGGCUGGUGGAGCCGCAGAUUGAUGAUCCCAACAGCAGCCUUGAGGAGGUGAUGGAUGAGGCUGACGCCAUCAGCUCUGUGAACAAUCUGGGAAGCAAGCAAGCCUUGCACGCAGAUUACCUGGGUUCUGAUUACCAGACAGGACAGCUGUACCCGUUCUCCCUCAGCAGUGACCCCGACACGGCCACGUUCACUCUCACAAAUGCAGCUCCAAUGACCCCAUCCUUCCAGAAACGGUGGUACGUGAAUCUCAACAGCCUAAUGGACCGGGCCCUGACCCCACAGUGUGGCGAUGGGGAAGAGCUCUACAUCAUCACAGGUGCCGUGCCCUCAGACCUCAAGGUCAAAGACAAAGUGACCAUCCCGGAGUUUGUUUGGCUGGCAGCCUGUUGUGCUGUCCCUGGAGGAGGCUGGGCCAUGGGCUUUGUCAAGCACACCCGGGACCGGGAGGUCAUAGAAGAUGUGAUGGUGAAAGAACUUGAGAAACUGCUUCCAUUCAAGCCUCAGCUGUUCCAGAACAACUGUGGGGAAAGUGAACAAGACACAGAGAAGAUGAAAAAAAUCCUGGAAAUGGUCAAUCGAGUCCAGGAUGAGGAGCGGAGGGUAGACUCUGAAGGGGACUCUGGGACCCUCUCCAGCACAAGGAGUACCAGGUCCACUCUGCUGCCUCCAGAGGCAUCUGGGGAAAGGAGUAGCCUUUUGGGAAAACUCUUGGGCUUCACUGCUACCCCAUUCACCAAGCUUUGCCAAUUAAUUUAUUUCCUUGCAGUCAGAAUCCUGAAGUACCUUGUGUAUUUCCUGUGGUAUGUCACCAAACAGGUGACUCAUGGUCUAGAAAGUUGUCUUUACCGCCUGGGGUCAGCCACCAUCUCCUACUUCUUGGCCAUUGGGGAGGAGUUGGCCAUCAUUCCCUGGAAGGUACUCAAAGUCAUGGUCAGGAUCACCAGGGCCAUUCUCCGCAUCCUUUGUUGCCUGCUGAAGGUUGUUUGCCGUAUCGUGGGCAUCCCUGUCCGAGUCCUUGUGGAUGUGGCCACUUUUCCUGUGUACACCAUAGGCGCAGUUCCAAUUGUGUGCAGGGACAUUGCAAUGGGCCUUGGUGGCAUCAUCUCUCUGUUCUUUGACACUGCUUUUGGCACCAUGGGUGGCCUAUUUCAGGUCAUUUUUACUGUCGGCAAGCAGAUUGGCUACAAGAUUACUUUUGACAAUCCUGGCGAGUUAUAGAAAAAAAACCUGAGUGACCAGUCACAGUGAAUUUGAUUUUUUUUUUUAAAUAGAGAAAGCUGGAAUAUUUCGCCUAUAUAAUGGGUUUCUGUUCACUGUCAAUUAUCGUAAUAUUUUGGCCUUUGGUGGGGGGGUGUCUGCCUGUUUUUGCAAAGGAAGAUGAUACAAUUUUGACUUCACCCAAGAGAAGUGUUCAAGAGAGAAGUUCCAUCCAGUACUGUAUGGAUCAGUGCUACUCUGAUUUGGAACAUCACUAUCUAGAACCAUCCUGAAGACUCCGUGUUAUAGGAGAGGCCAUGUCCUAACAAGAGCUUCCAGGAUUUCAGGCAUCUUUGGAAGAAAAACAAGGAGCUCAAGAUCAAACUUGCCCUGAAUUCUGCACUUCAGUGCUUCUACAAAGAGUUACGGUAUAGGGCUUGGGGUUGGUUUUGUUUGUUGUUUGUUUGUAAGCCUGCACUCUGGAUUCUGUAGACCCGGGUUCAACUUUUAGUUCUACGACACUUUUGGGAAAAUAUCUCCAAACUUCUGUGAAAUUUAAUUCCUUGUCUGUAAAAUGUGGAUAAUAAAAAUAUCAACCUCAAAAGGUUUAUGUAAGAACCAAAUGAGGGGAAUUCCCUGGUGGUCCAGGGGUUAGGACUUGGCGCUUCCACUGCCGAGGGCCGGGAUUUAAUCCCUGGUCCAGGAACUAAGAUCCUUGCAAGCUGCGAGGCAAGGCCAAAAAAAAAAAAAAAAAAAAAUCAAAAGACUCAAAUGAGAUAAUAUGCUUUGUAAACUAUAAAGUAUCACAGAAAUAUAAAGAUUUAUUAUUAUAGAAGGCUCCAGGUUUGGUUCUUUUUUCUGAAAAAUCAGUGCAUAGUUCUUUUUUUAAAAAGGUGAGUAGACACAAAUGAAAAUUAAAGCAGUUAUCCAGAAAGUGUACAUGGCUUAGCCAAAAAUUUGGUUUGACAGUAAGCAUUGUACACUAUGCCCUGAAAAGGCUCUGAACUUCAGGUCCUCAGAAUUCUGCCUCUUGUCUAUCCUUAAGUCCUAUGUUCUUCUUUUUUUUUUAAAUUUACUUAUUUUAUUUAUUUAUUUUUGGCUGCGUUGGGUCUUCGUUGCUGCGCGUGGGCUUUCUCUAGUUGCCGUGAUCGGGGGCUACUCUUCGUCGCGGUGCGUGGGCUUCUCAGUGCGGUGGCUUCUCUUGUGGCAGAGCAUGCGCGGGCUUCAGUAGUUGUGGCACGUGGCUCAGUAGUUGUGGCUCUCAGGAUCUAGAGCACAGGCUAAGUAGUUGUGGCACAGGGGCUUAGUUGCUCCGUGGCAUGUGGGAUCUUCCUGGACCAGGGCUUGAACCCGUGUCCCCUGCAUUGGCAGGCAGAUUCUUAACCACUGCACCACCAGGGAAGCCCAAGUCCCAUGUUCUUAAAGUCAGUGAAAUCCGUCUUCAGUAGACUGCUGUGCACUCACCUCAUGCCUGUUUGCUUUCCUCCCGUAUGAAUCAGCCGAGUCCCUGAAAUAUUAGGCAUUAAAAAGAAGACACCGUAUGAGUGAUACAUAAUAAGAGCUGAACAAGAAAUGGGUGCCAGAGAGUGAAAAGUCCCAGGGGAGUCUCUGAGAACCAGUGGAAACACCCAGACCUCCCCUGGCAGCCUGCCAAUGGGAGGCGAGCCCGGGCCUGCCACCGAGUCACUGUCCCCAAGAACACCAGACAGCAGCUCCUGGGAUUAUGAUUCUGGAGGUUGUCUCAAGUCUCUGAUUCCCCAAGCUAUUUGUUAAUGAGGCAUAUCCAGGUGUAUCCUGUUCAUGGCAUUUAGAAGGAAACUUCCAGGGAAGUGAAAGUUCCAGGAGUGAGGAAUCAGCAGGCUGGUCAAAGGGGAGGGUGCUCCUGGGACCCAGGAGAUCUGAGUUUACUUCCUGUGAGUCACGGCGCCUUUUCUGGAUACCAUCACAGGACCAUCUUUAGGAUCUUGCCAAACUGCAGGGUUCCCCAAAAGUCGGAGAAAUCUCCUGGGACAUUAUUGGGACGACAGCAGAACAUCAUCAACAUGGUCAUCAUUAUCACCGUCAUCAUUAUUAUGAUUGUCAUCAGUUCUUCCCCGACUUGCAAAACUGAUGAGCGGGGUUACCCUUUAGGUGGCAGCCAACCUGAGAGCAUUUAAGAAAUGUCGUAACACUCAUGCUCCCAGCAGCCUGCGGUAUUGCCAGAAAUCUCCCCCCUUGGCUCCCUUCCCUUAGGCUGUCUCUUUCCUAUGAAAAUACAAAGAGCAGCCCAUUGUGUUAAUACUAGCAACUUAGAAUAAAUGAUCCUAUGAAAUCCUUCCCACUAGCUGGAUCAACUCCCAUAGGCAGUAAUUGUUUUGCCAGGUGGGAGGCGUGGUGGGAAGCAUUGGGCUGAGAGGGUCAGGAAGUGCCUUAGACCAGCUUCCCACGGGGCUGGAGCGGGGCCUAGGCGAGCCCUGUAUUGUGAGGGCUAGGGACAAAGUGAGGUGUCCUCUAAGAUCUUAGAAAUAAUGCCAACAAAUUGCUUUCUACUUCUCAAAUAGAAGAUCAGCCCAUAAUAGAUCAAAGUAGAAAUAUACACCUGAAAGAAGGCUCAUCACCUGUAGUGUGCUAGUUAAUGGUGAACAACCACCUUGCUGAGGGGAAAAAAAGACCCUGAUUUGUAAUGUUUGCCCAUUUCUCUGAUAUAAACACCCUCACCAUGCCUGAUUUCCAGCUGCCAAUGGAACACCACUGAAAGCAGAGUGGGGAAGAACACAGUCUGCUCUCCGGAGCCGGCCACACACACCACAACUCCAGAAUCCAACUGAGGGCAUUACGACAUGUAUAGACAAACUGUUUCCAGCACAAAAGGAGGUGCUCAGUCAUCGUAUGGCAAGGAACGAAAAUUCGCCGAGACAGACACUGACUAUGCCCAGAUGGAUACUCUCUAGGAGAGAACAAGGCUUGGCAAUUUGAACUUUGGAUAUUUCCAAAUCCAAAGGCUACAUCAUCUGCCCUGCAAAAUGAAUGCAUCAUUAUUCUGGGCUCAACGCCAUUAAACUUCGACCCACCUAACACUUCUUAUUCUAUCCCAUUCCCACCAAGAAACUUUUGAUUGUGACCUGGCUUCGGAUGAUGGUUUGCCUCCAAGGCGAGGGUACGCCGAACACAUAGACUUCAACCCCCCUCGACAAUGCUUUAUUUCAGCAAAGUUUUUACAAAGUGGCUUUGAAUUAUGUUUCGAUUUCCUGCGUAGCUUAAGAACAUAAUGUAUUAAGAUGCUGAUGGAAGUGUUCCAAUCUACAAAUCAGUUCUAUUUUUCAGUGUAAAUUAAUAAAAUAUCAUAGUGGUGUCCCACUCAAUCUCUCAUGUGUCCUAGUGUAAAUCCCUUUCUAAAAGCCCAUCACUUCUGGAAGCUCAUUAGAGCCCACAUCUGAGCUUCCAAACAUGAGAAAAUAUCUCAGGGUGCGGUGUCCAAGCCAACACAG